rnacentral:rRNA from 1 species
GAUGAACGCUGGCGGCGUGCCUAAUACAUGCAAGUCGAGCGAACAGAUAAGGAGCUUGCUCCUUUGACGUUAGCGGCGGACGGGUGAGUAACACGUGGGUAACCUACCUAUAAGACUGGGAUAACUUCGGGAAACCGGAGCUAAUACCGGAUAACAUUUGGAACCGCAUGGUUCUAAAGUGAAAGAUGGUUUUGCUAUCACUUAUAGAUGGACCCGCGCCGUAUUAGCUAGUUGGUAAGGUAACGGCUUACCAAGGCGACGAUACGUAGCCGACCUGAGAGAGUGAUCGGCCACACUGGAACUGAGACACGGUCCAGACUCCUACGGGAGGCAGCAGUAGGGAAUCUUCCGCAAUGGGCGAAAGCCUGACGGAGCAACGCCGCGUGAGUGAUGAAGGGUUUCGGCUCGUAAAACUCUGUUAUUAGGGAAGAACAAAUGUGUAAGUAACUGUGCACGUCUUGACGGUACCUAAUCAGAAAGCCACGGCUAACUACGUG